GACGAACGCUGGCGGCGUGCCUAAUACAUGCAAGUUGAGCGCUGAAGGUUGGUACUUGUACCAACUGGAUGAGCAGCGAACGGGUGAGUAACGCGUGGGGAAUCUGCCUUUGAGCGGGGGACAACAUUUGGAAACGAAUGCUAAUACCGCAUAAAAACUUUAAACACAAGUUUUAAGUUUGAAAGAUGCAAUUGCAUCACUCAAAGAUGAUCCCGCGUUGUAUUAGCUAGUUGGUGAGGUAAAGGCUCACCAAGGCGAUGAUACAUAGCCGACCUGAGAGGGUGAUCGGCCACAUGGGGAGUGGGACACGGCCCAAACUCCUACGGGAGGCAGCAGUAGGGAAUCUUCGGCAAUGGACGAAAGUCUGACCGAGCAACGCCGCGUGAGUGAAGAAGGAUUUCGGAUCGUAAAACUCUGUUGGUAGAGAAGAACGUUGGUGAGAGUGGAAAGCUCAUCAAGUGACGGUAACUACCCAGAAAGGGACGGCUAACUACGUG
rnacentral:rRNA from 1 species